GAGUGGCGUGUGUAAAGGCUCGUAGUCGAAUUUCUGGUUGGCGUGAAUGCGGCUUCUGGUCGUGUUACCGUGCAGCCAUCCUCUUGAGAACCAUUGAGGCCUUCACAGGUCAUUGAUGGGUAUCAAGAUUUUUACUUUGAAAAAAUUAGAGUGUUUCAGGCAGGCAAUUGCCCGAAUACAUAAGCAUGGAAUAAUGGAAAAGGACUUUGUCCAUUUUGUUGGUUAUUGGCCAAAGAAUGAUAACAGGACAGUUGGCGCUUAGUUUAUUUCCAAAAGAAAAAAUGUUGAUUAUUAAAGAUAAGGGGGGAAUCAAAAAGGGGAGUUCG
rnacentral:rRNA from 1 species